AAUUUUAAUUUUGAUAAAUUAAUUUUGUGAGAAGCUAAUGUAGUUGGUUCUUUUUAAGGCUAAAAGCCUAUUGGAGAAUUAGGCUAACACAGGGUGAAGGUGAAGAUCAUUACAGGUUUCAGUGCUGGCUGAGAUGGGUGGCUGAGGUUGUGUUACUGUGUCUAGAGGGGCGGGGUUCCUGUACAUUCCGACUUCAGCAGAUAACCUGGCCCCAGCCAUGCUCCAGCUUCUCCAGACAGAUGGAAAUCUCCAGAGGAAAAUCUGCACAGCCCUUCUAAGAAGCAGGGUUCUGCUCGAUGUUGUCGGAAGGCUGCUGAGGACUUGAGAACUGUGAACACUCUCACCAGGAGAUCGAGGUUUACUCCUCCUUGGGACAAGGAAGGCUGGCAUGACCAUCCACUUCACAUUCGCCAGUGUGCUGACACCAAGCAGAAAAUUCCAUGUAGAGAGCAGACUCCAUGUAGUCACACGUCCCUGGAGAAAAUUGCUUCAUCAUUCUUCAGAAAGAAAAAAAAAAAGUUGAUUUCCUUCAGAAUCCUCUCAUCUUAGAAUGACUAGGUAGAAUUUUAUGCUUAUUUAGAUCUCUUCCAUGCCUAAAUUCUUGGGCAUCUUCCCAUUUUCUAGUUCCAUAAAUAAAAGUAAAAUGUUACUAAAUGAAUACAAUUAUUUUGGUCUCAGUGAAUCAGUUGAGGCUUGGCUGAACCAGCCCAAGUUUGGGGAGCUGCAUGGGACUCUAAUUUACCAUGUCAUUGCAUUUCCUACUUCCUGAUGAUGUGGGUUUUAUGUGUGGGUCAAAACUUCUCUCCAGUUUUGUCUAAUUGGAAAACAGAAUAAAGAUGAUGUUUCAAUGGGCUUUGAUCUUCUAG
rnacentral:lncRNA from 1 species